rnacentral:rRNA from 1 species
UACGUAGGGCGCAAGCGUUGUCCGGAAUUAUUGGGCGUAAAGAGCUCGUAGGCGGUUUGUCGCGUCUGUCGUGAAAGCUUGGGGCUUAACCCCAAGUCUGCGGUGGAUACGGGCAGACUAGAGGCAGGUAGGGGAGAACGGAAUUCCUGGUGUAGCGGUGAAAUGCGCAGAUAUCAGGAGGAACACCGGUGGCGAAGGCGGGUCUCUGGGCCGAUACUGACGCUGAGGAGCGAAAGCGUGGGGAGCGAACAGG